UACGGGGGGGGGCAAGCGUUGUUCGGAAUCACUGGGCGUAAAGCGCACGUAGGCGGAUGUGCCAGUCAGGGGUGAAAUCCCGGAGCUCAACUCCGGAACUGCCUCUGAUACAGCACGUCUUGAGUCCGGAAGAGGUGGGUGGAAUUCCUAGUGUAGAGGUGAAAUUCGUAGAUAUUAGGAAGAACACCGGUGGCGAAGGCGGCCCACUGGUCCGGUACUGACGCUGAGGUGCGAAAGCGUGGGGAGCAAACAGG
rnacentral:rRNA from 1 species